ACCCGCUGAACUUAAGCAUAUCAAUAAGCGGAGGAAAAGAAACCAACAGGGAUUGCCCUAGUAACGGCGAGUGAAGCGGCAACAGCUCAAAUUUGAGAUCUGGCGUCUUUGGCGUCCGAGUUGUAAUUUGCAGAGGGCGCUUUGGCAUUGGCAGCGGUCCAAGUUCCUUGGAACAGGACGUCACAGAGGGUGAGAAUCCCGUACGUGGUCGCUAGCCUUUACCGUGUAAAGCCCCUUCGACGAGUCGAGUUGUUUGGGAAUGCAGCUCUAAAUGGGAGGUAAAUUUCUUCUAAAGCUAAAUACUGGCCAGAGACCGAUAGCGCACAAGUAGAGUGAUCGAAAGAUGAAAAGCACUUCGGAAAGAGAGUUAAAAAGCACGUGAAAUUGUUGAAAGGGAAGCGCUUGCAGCCAGACUUGCCUGUAGUUGCUCAUCCGGGUUUUUACCCGGUGCACUCUUCUAUAGGCAGGCCAGCAUCAGUUUGGGCGGUUGGAUAAAGGUCUCUGUCAUGUACCUCUCUUCGGGGAGAACUUAUAGGGGAGACGACAUGCAACCAGCCCGGACUGAGGUCCGCGCAUCUGCUAGGAUGCUGGCGUAAUGGCUGU
rnacentral:rRNA from 1 species